GGCUCACCUAGGCGACGAUCCCUAGCUGGUCUGAGAGGAUGACCAGCCACACUGGAACUGAGACACGGUCCAGACUCCUACGGGAGGCAGCAGUGGGGAAUAUUGCACAAUGGGCGCAAGCCUGAUGCAGCCAUGCCGCGUGUGUGAAGAAGGCCUUCGGGUUGUAAAGCACUUUCAGCGGGGAGGAAGGCGAUAAGGUUAAUAACCUUGUCGAUUGACGUUACCCGCAGAAGAAGCACCGGCUAACUCCGUGCCAGCAGCCGCGGUAAUACGGAGGGUGCAAGCGUUAAUCGGAAUUACUGGGCGUAAAGCGCACGCAGGCGGUCUGUCAAGUCGGAUGUGAAAUCCCCGGGCUCAACCUGGGAACUGCAUUCGAAACUGGCAGGCUAGAGUCUUGUAGAGGGGGGUAGAAUUCCAGGUGUAGCGGUGAAAUGCGUAGAGAUCUGGAGGAAUACCGGUGGCGAAGGCGGCCCCCUGGACAAAGACUGACGCUCAGGUGCGAAAGCGUGGGGAGCAAACAGGAUUAGAUACCCUGGUAGUCCACGCCGUAAACGAUGUCGAUUUGGAGGUUGUGCCCUUGAGGCGUGGCUUCCGGAGCUAACGCGUUAAAUCGACCGCCUGGGGAGUACGGCCGCAAGGUUAAAACUCAAAUGAAUUGACGGGGGCCCGCACAAGCGGUGGAGCAUGUGGUUUAAUUCGAUGCAACGCGAAGAACCUUACCUGGUCUUGACAUCCACAGAACUUUCCAGAGAUGGAUUGGUGCCUUCGGGAACUGUGAGACAGGUGCUGCAUGGCUGUCGUCAGCUCGUGUUGUGAAAUGUUGGGUUAAGUCCCGCAACGAGCGCAACCCUUAUCCUUUGUUGCCAGCGGUUAGGCCGGGAACUCAAAGGAGACUGCCAGUGAUAAACUGGAGGAAGGUGGGGAUGACGUCAAGUCAUCAUGGCCCUUACGACCAGGGCUACACACGUGCUACAAUGGCAUAUACAAAGAGAAGCGACCUCGCGAGAGCAAGCGGACCUCAUAAAGUAUGUCGUAGUCCGGAUUGGAGUCUGCAACUCGACUCCAUGAAGUCGGAAUCGCUAGUAAUCGUAGAUCAGAAUGCUACGGUGAAUACGUUCCCGGGCCUUGUACACACCGCCCGUCACACCAUGGGAGUGGGUUGCAAAAGAAGUAGGUAGCUUAACCUUCGGGAGGGCGCUUACCACUUUGUGAUUCAUGACUGGGGUGAAGUCGUAACAAGGUAACCGUAGGGGAACCUGCGGUUGGAUCACCU
rnacentral:rRNA from 1 species